rnacentral:rRNA from 1 species
GCUUUACUGUAUCUUGGAAUUGAAUUUGGGUUUAUUUUGCGCAGUAUAGGUGGGAGGCUAUGAUAUUAUAUUUGAGGAUAUAAAGGAGCCAUCAGUGAGAUACCACUCUAAUUAAACUAAAAUUCUAAUCUUGAUGCCGUUAUCCGGCCAAGAGACAUUUUCAGGUGGGCAGUUUGACUGGGGCGGUCGCCUCCUAAAAGGUAACGGAGGCGUGCAAAGGUUUUCUCAGGCUGGUCGGAAAUCAGUCGUAGAGUGUAAAGGCAUAAGAAAGCUUGACUGCGAGACCUACAAGUCGAGCAGAGACGAAAGUCGGCCUUAGUGAUCCGACAGUUCUGAGUGGAAAGGCUGUCGCUCAACGGAUAAAAGUUA